rnacentral:rRNA from 1 species
UCGGGAAUUUUGGGCAAUGGGGGAAACCCUGACCCAGCAACGCCGCGUGAAGGAUGAAGUAUUUCGGUAUGUAAACUUCGAAAGAAUAGGAAGAAUUAAUGACGGUACUAUUUAUAAGGUCCGGCUAACUACGUGCCAGCAGCCGCGGUAAUACGUAGGGACCAAGCGUUGUUCGGAUUUACUGGGCGUAAAGGGCGCGUAGGCGGCAUGGCAAGUCACUUGUGAAAUCUCCGGGCUUAACUCGGAACGGCCAAGUGAUACUGCUGAGCUAGAGUGCAGAAGGGGCAAUCGGAAUUCUUGGUGUAGCGGUGAAAUGCGUAGAUAUCAAGAGGAACACCUGAGGUGAAGACGGGUUGCUGGGCUGACACUGACGCUGAUGCGCGAAAGCUAGGGGAGCAAACG